rnacentral:rRNA from 1 species
CACGUAGGGUCCGAGCGUUGUCCGGAAUUACUGGGCGUAAAGCGUGCGCAGGCGGUUGGGUCAGUCGCUGGUGAAAGCCCCACGCUCAACGUGGGAAUGGCCAACGAGACGGCCCGACUGGAGGCAGGGAGAGGCCGGUGGAAUUCCGGGUGUAGUGGUGAAAUGCGCAGAUAUCAGGAGGAACACCGAUGGCGAAGGCACUUUACUGGGCUAUUACUAACACUCAGAGACGAAAGCUAGGGUAGCAAACGGG